rnacentral:rRNA from 1 species
CUACGGGAGGCACCAGUAGGGAAUAUUGGACAAUGGGCGAAAGCCUGAUCCAGCAACGCCGCGUGUGCGAUGACGGCCUUCGGGUUGUAAAGCACUUUUAGAGGAGAUGAGGAAGGACAGUAUCCUCAGAAUAAGCCUCGGCGAACUACGUGCCAGCAGCCGCGGUAAAACGUAGGAGGCAAGCGUUAUCCGGAUUUAUUGGGCGUAAAGCGCGUGCAGGCGGUCUAGCAAGUUGGAUGUGAAAGCUCCCGGCUUAACCGGGAGAGGUCGUUCAAUACUGUUAGACUAGAGAAUGGGAGAGGGAGGUGGAAUUCUGGGUGUAGUGGUGAAAUGCGUAGAUAUCCAGAGGAACACCAGUGGCGAAAGCGGCCUCCUGGACCAUUUCUGACGCUAAGACGCGAAAGCUAGGGUAGCAAACGGGAUUAGAUACCCCGGUAGUC